rfam:Triticum urartu cultivar G1812 contig1158842, whole genome shotgun sequence.
UGUGUACUUUCUCCGUCCGAAAAUACUUGUCAUCAAAAUGGAUGAAUACAUCCCGUCCGAAAAUACUUGUCAUCAAAAUGGAUGAAUACAUCCAUAUUCAUCCAUUUUAAUGACAAGUAUUUUCGGACGGAGGGAGUAGUCA